ACUCUCGACACCUACGGGAGCAGCAGUGGGGAAUAUUGCACAAUGGGGGAAACCCUGAUGCAGCGACGCCGCGUGAAGGAAGAAGUAUCUCGGUAUGUAAACUUCUAUCAGCAGGGAAGAAAGUGACGGUACCUGACUAAGAAGCCCCGGCUAAUUACGUGCCAGCAGCCGCGGUAAUCUGAGCGGGCUGGCAAGGC
rnacentral:rRNA from 1 species